GGUAGCUUCUUCAUAUGCAUUUUGUUUUUCUCGGAUUUUCUCCCCCUUCAACCUCCGUCGAUGCCCAAUACGUUCUCUUCAUUCCCACUAUCCUCCACUCUUGCCCAAUCCUUACAAACCCCAAUUCCUAUUCGAUUUUGAUAUUUAAAAACCCUUUAGUUUUCUGUGAUGAUUUCAGUGACAACCUUCUUCUUCUCUGUUCCCCUCAACCUUCCCUUUCUCCGAUUACACCAGCAACAUCGCCAUCUGCCCCGAUUGAGACUCCCCUUCCCUCAUCUCUUUAGUUUUCUGUGAUGAUUUCCCCUCCCCUUCAGAUUUGGAUUUUGGCUCUUAAUUUGUCUUUGGUUCUUUAGGGGUUGAAGAUAUGUUACCUGAUUUGCAUGGCAAAGGAGUAGAGGCUCUGAUGAUUACCAUGUCUUUUUGGUUUUGAAUGUUAAUUAUUUGGUUUCGUUUUGUAGGUAUGCAGAGAAUACAAUUAAGAUACACUGAAAGUCCGCGAUUCUUUAAGCCAAAGAAGAUUUUUCUAUGUUUAUUCGAAUUGUCUGGAGCAUCCUUCAUAGACAAUGAAAGAGAAAUUUGUUAGAUAAAACAAAAUGGUGGGCUUUGCUUGGAUAAAGGAGGAAGAGAAUCCGAACGAGAAGAAACUUGAGGAACCUAAUAAUUGAGAAGAGAAGAAAGAAUGAUAUGAGUUUGUGUGAGUAUGUGAUUGUGGAGACCCCAAGUUACAGGUGCUCGGAGCUCCUUCCUGAUUUUCCCUAUGGCUUCAACUCGGGUAUUUGGUUUUGAAUGAGAUACUUGGUUGGGAAGACUCCAUCCGAAUCUCUCACGAUGCAAGAUCAAUGCUUUCUCUAUCAUACUGUGUACCUGUGCUAAAAGAUAAUUAAUUAGUGUACAAAGUGGGUUCAAGAGAAACAACAAUAGUAGCAGAAGUGGUUUUUUUCAUGAGUGAUGAAAGAAUGAAGGGCCAAGUUUAUAGCAAGAGAGUCUUAUCUUUUGAGAGGAACAAUCAAUGCAGAAGCCUUUGCAGAUUGCUAUGAGUUCAUCAAAGGAACAUCUAUUUUUUCCAUGGAUCAAAUUUAAGAAACAAUUGCUCCCAUUCAUGUUGCUAACUCAUGACUCCUUUAAGUAGAGUGCAACUUGCAUAACAUUAUAAGUUUCUCUCUUUUUUGAUUUUUUUGGCACAAUAAUAUAGUAAAAUCUCUAGACUGAAGAUGUAAUUUUGUUUUUCUUUAC